UGCAGUCGAACGAUGAAGCCCUUCGGGGUGGAUUAGUGGCGAACGGGUGAGUAACACGUGGGCAAUCUGCCCUUCACUCUGGGACAAGCCCUGGAAACGGGGUCUAAUACCGGAUAUGAGCCUGGGAGGCAUCUCCCGGGUUGUAAAGCUCCGGCGGUGAAGGAUGAGCCCGCGGCCUAUCAGCUUGUUGGUGAGGUAACGGCUCACCAAGGCGACGACGGGUAGCCGGCCUGAGAGGGCGACCGGCCACACUGGGACUGAGACACGGCCCAGACUCCUACGGGAGGCAGCAGUGGGGAAUAUUGCACAAUGGGCGCAAGCCUGAUGCAGCGACGCCGCGUGAGGGAUGACGGCCUUCGGGUUGUAAACCUCUUUCAGCAGGGAAGAAGCGCAAGUGACGGUACCUGCAGAAGAAGCGCCGGCUAACUACGUGCCAGCAGCCGCGGUAAUACGUAGGGCGCAAGCGUUGUCCGGAAUUAUUGGGCGUAAAGAGCUCGUAGGCGGCUUGUCACGUCGGGUGUGAAAGCCCGGGGCUUAACCCCGGGUCUGCAUUCGAUACGGGCUGGCUAGAGUGUGGUAGGGGAGAUCGGAAUUCCUGGUGUAGCGGUGAAAUGCGCAGAUAUCAGG
rnacentral:rRNA from 1 species